CCAAAAAAAAAUUACCCAUAGAAUCCACGACAAAAAAAACCUAGAUCUCUUCCAAUCCGCCAUAGACUCCACGAAACUCUUCGCCAGCCUCAUUUUGCGUCCAUUCGUUCAUCUUUCCUUCAGUCUCAGGUGAUUCGUCACCAUCCUGAAGAAUCGUCUCCUCUCAUCUCUAAACCCUAGCCGCCGAUGUCGUCGCUGAUUCUCCUCGUCGUAUAUGUCUCUUGUUAAUUUUGUUUACUCGUCAUCCCCUUACCUCGGAAAAAGUUAGGGUUACGGAUCCGAAUUAGCAACCAUGGAAGAGAUCACCGAUGGAGUGAACAACAUGAACUUGGCCGUUGAUUCCCAGAAGUAAAAUCGGAUUCAGGUUUCAAACACCAAGAAACCAUUGUUCUUUUACGUCAAUCUAACAAAGCCUAUCGACGGGAGUGCUAAUAGGAACAAUUGUUCAAAUCAAAGUUUUAUGCGUUCUCCUUUUGAUGGGGCGAAAUAGAUAGACGAGAAGAAAUUGAAGAGAUCGAAGUUUGUCUCUGUCCUUAUGAUGUUAGUUCUAUUUUGUUUAAGACUUAUGAUGAUAGUAUAAGAUUUGGUAUGAUGUUAUGUAAGACUUGUUUGGCUAAUUGGUUAAUGUAAUAUUACUUGUUGAUGAUUUAUAAAAUAUAAAAGUUAUAUAUAA